rnacentral:rRNA from 1 species
ACUCCUACGGGAGGCAGCAGUGGGGAAUCUUAGACAAUGGGGGCAACCCUGAUCUAGCCAUGCCGCGUGAGUGAUGAAGGCCUUAGGGUCGUAAAGCUCUUUCGCCUGUGAUGAUAAUGACAGUAGCAGGUAAAGAAACCCCGGCUAACUCCGUGCCAGCAGCCGCGGUAAUACGGAGGGGUUAGCGUUGUUCGGAAUUACUGGGCGUAAAGCGCGCGUAGGCGGACUGGAAAGUUGGGGGUGAAAUCCCAGGGCUCAACCCUGGAACGGCCUCCAAAACUCCCAGUCUGGAGUUCGAGAGAGGUGAGUGGAAUUCCGAGUGUAGAGGUGAAAUUCGUAGAUAUUCGGAGGAACACCAGUGGCGAAGGCGGCUCACUGGCUCGAUACUGACGCUGAGGUGCGAAAGUGUGGGGAGCAAACAGGAUUAGAUACCCUGGUAGGUGA